rnacentral:rRNA from 1 species
AGAGCGAACGCUGGCGGCAGGCCUAACACAUGCAAGUCGAGCGCCCGUAGCAAUACGGGAGCGGCAGACGGGAUAGUAACACGUGGGAACGCGCCCUUCGGUUCGGAAUAACUCAGGGAAACUUGAGCUAAUACCGGAUACGCCCUUACGGGGAAAGAUUUAUUGCCGAAGGAACGGCCCGCGUCCGAUUAGCUAGUUGGUGAGGUAAUGGCUCACCAAGGCGACGAUCGGUAGCUGGUCUGAGAGGAUGACCAGCAUCACUGGGACUGAGACACGGCCCAGACUCCUACGGGAGGCAGCAGUGGGGAAUAUUGGACAAUGGGCGCAAGCCUGAUCCAGCCAUGCCGCGUGGAUGAUGAAGGCCUUAGGGUUGUAAAGUCCUUUUAACGGGAAGUAUAAUGACGGUACCGUAGAAUAAGCCCGGCUAACGUCGUGCCAGCAGCCGC